UACGGGGGGGGCAAGCGUUGUUCGGAAUUACUGGGCGUAAAGGGUGCGUAGGCGGUGGGGUAAGUUGGAUGUGAAAUCUUGGGGCUUAACCUCAAAAUUGCAUUCAAUACUGCUCCGCUCGAGUUCUGUAGAGGAGAUUGGAAUUUACGGUGUAGCAGUGAAAUGCGUAGAUAUCGUAAGGAACGCCAGUGGCGAAAGCGAAUCUCUGGGCAGCAACUGACGCUGAGGCACGAAGGCCAGGGGAGCAAACGGG
rnacentral:rRNA from 1 species